GUUCUUCACCUCUUCGGGUGUGUCACCGGCGCAAGAGAGAAGACAAGAGAAUUUUGGAAAAAAGAAAGGAAUUAGGGUUAGAAAGAGCUGGUGAAGUACUGAAGUUAAAUGUUGAUGGAAUAUUAGCCGUUAGAUCUUGAUCCAACGGUUGAAAUUUUAAAUAUAGGUAGGCCUAUUUAUAAAAAAGUUGGGCUUCAUUUUUAAGUUGGGCUAAAAAUUUUAAAAAUAAUAAUCUAUAUUAUUUAUUUAUAUACAAAUAUAAUUAUAUAUAUAUAUAAAUAUAAUAUAUAUAUAAAUUAUAUUAAUAUAUAUGUAUUUUGGUUUAGACUAUAAAAGUGUAGGUAUUUUUUUUUUGCCUUUAGAUUCAUAUUUAAAGGCUUGAAUUUUUUUUUAUAUAUUAUAUCAUAUUAAAUUUGUUCGGGUUCGGGUUCGGGUUCGGGUUCGGGUUCGGAUUCGGGUCGGGUUCGGGUCGGGUACAGUCAAUAUCCAUAUCCAAAUCCAUAUCUGUCGGGUUUUUAUUUUUGAUAUCCAUAUCCAAACCAUAUCCAUUUACAUCGGAUAAAAUCCGCUCCGUUCGGGUUUGGAUUCGGAUAAAAUUCGGGUGUCCAUAUCCAUUUACAUCCCUAGUUGCGCAUUCCCGAUGCAACUGUACACUGCAACCAGCCGUGCCAAUCAAUACUAGAAAAACGCCCGCACUUCUACAACGGCGGAAGACCGCUUGACUUAAUAUUUGUGAGGAGAUUUAAAUUUAGGUCUCAAAAAUUUAUUUUAUUUAUUUACAUCUAAUGCAAAUAAAAAUAAUCCGCGCAUAAAAAUAUAAUUAAAUUGGUGAUUAUCAUGGAUCUAAGAAGUGGAUUCGGACUCGAGCCACUGAGUCGAAAUCGGGGU
rnacentral:lncRNA from 1 species